rnacentral:rRNA from 1 species
AUGGGAACGCGAAGAACCUUACCUAGACUUGACAUCUCCUGAAUAGUGUAGAGAUACAUGAAGCCCUUCGGGGCAGGAAGACAGGUGGUGCAUGGUUGUCGUCAGCUCGUGUCGUGAGAUGUUGGGUUAAGUCCCGCAACGAGCGCAACCCUUAUUACUAGUUGCUACCAUUAAGUUGAGCACUCUAGUGAGACUGCCCGGGGUUAACCGGGAGGAAGGCGGGGAUGACGUCAAAUCAUCAUGCCCCUUAUGUCUAGGGCCACACACGUGCUACAAUGGUGGGGACAAAGAGAUGCGAAACCGCAAGGUUGAGCCAAACUCAAAACCCCAUCCCAGUUCGGAUUGUAGGCUGAAACUCGCCUACAUGAAGCCGGAGUUGCUAGUAAUCGCGAAUCAGAAUGUCGCGGUGAAUACGUUCCCGGGUCUUGUACACACCG